rnacentral:rRNA from 1 species
CACCGCCGCGGGAAUACGAAGGGUGCAAGCGUUACUCGGAAUUACUGGGCGUAAAGCGUGCGUAGGUGGUGGUUUAAGUCCGUUGUGAAAGCCCUGGGCUCAACCUGGGAAUUGCAGUGGAUACUGGGUCACUAGAGUGUGGUAGAGGAUAGUGGAAUUUCCGGUGUAGCAGUGAAAUGCGUAGAGAUCGGAAGGAACAUCUGUGGCGAAGGCGACUAUCUGGGCCAACACUGACACUGAGGCACGAAAGCGUGGGGAGCAAACAGGAUUAGAUACCCGGGUAGUCCCUGUCUCUUAUACC